UACAGAGAGUGCAAGCGUUAAUCGGAAUUACUGGGCGUAAAGAGCACGUAGGCGGAGAUUUAAGUUGGAUGUGAAAGCCCUGGGCUUAACCUAGGAACUGCAUCCAAAACUGGAUUUCUAGAGUAUGGUAGAGGGAAGUGGAAUUUCUGGUGUAGCGGUGAAAUGCGUAGAUAUCAGAAAGAACAUCAGUGGCGAAGGCGGCUUCCUGGACUAAUACUGACGCUGAGGUGCGAAAGCGUGGGGAGCAAACAGG
rnacentral:rRNA from 1 species